GGGCGAUUAGCUCAGUUGGUAGAGCAGCUGAUUCUUAAUCAGCGGGUCACAGGUUCGAGUCCUGUAUCGCCCA
rnacentral:tRNA from 1 species